UACGAAGGGGGCUAGCGUUGCUCGGAAUCACUGGGCGUAAAGGGCGCGUAGGCGGCUUUAUAAGUCGGGGGUGAAAGCCUGUGGCUCAACCACAGAAGUGCCUUCGAUACUGUAGAGCUUGAGACCGGAAGAGGUAAGUGGAACUGCGAGUGUAGAGGUGAAAUUCGUAGAUAUUCGCAAGAACACCAGUGGCGAAGGCGGCUUACUGGUCCGGUUCUGACGCUGAGGCGCGAAAGCGUGGGGAGCAAACAGG
rnacentral:rRNA from 1 species